UACGAAGGGGGCUAGCGUUGUUCGGAAUUACUGGGCGUAAAGCGCACGUAGGCGGAUAUUUAAGUCAGGGGUGAAAUCCCAGAGCUCAACUCUGGAACUGCCUUUGAUACUGGGUAUCUUGAGUAUGGAAGAGGUGAGUGGAAUUCCGAGUGUAGAGGUGAAAUUCGUAGAUAUUCGGAGGAACACCAGUGGCGAAGGCGACUCACUGGUCCAUUACUGACGCUGAGGUGCGAAAGCGUGGGGAGCAAACAGG
rnacentral:rRNA from 1 species